CUCUCCUUGGUGUAGUUGGUUUAUCACGUUCGACUGUAAAUCGAAAGGUCCCUAGUUCGAUUCUGGGAGGAGAGA
rnacentral:tRNA from 1 species